rnacentral:tRNA from 1 species
CCAGUGGUGGUUCAGUGUAGAAUUCUUGCCUUCCAUGCAGGAGACCUGGGUUUGACUUCUGGUCAUUGCU